UACAGAGGUCCCAAGCGUUGUUCGGAUUCAUUGGGCGUAGAGGGUGCGUAGGUGGCGCCGUAAGUCGGGUGUGAAAUUUCGGAGCUUAACUCCGAAACUGCAUUCGAUACUGCGGUGCUUGAGGACUGGAGAGGAGACUGGAAUUCAUGGUGUAGCAGUGAAAUGCGUAGAGAUCAUGAGGAAGACCAGUGGCGAAGGCGGGUCUCUGGACAGUUCCUGACACUGAGGCACGAAGGCCAGGGGAGCAAACGGG
rnacentral:rRNA from 1 species